rnacentral:rRNA from 1 species
UACGUAGGAGACGAGCGUUGUCCGGAGUUACUGGGCGUAAAGGGUGCGCAGGUGGCGGCGCGCGUGGGGGGUGAAAUCGCCCGGCUUAACUGGGCGGGGGCCUUCCAGACGGCGUGGCUUGAGCAGCGGAGGGGGACGUGGAAUUCCGGGUGUAGCGGUGGAAUGCGUAGAGAUCCGGAAGAACACCGGUGGCGAAGGCGGUCUGCUGGGCAGUUGCUGACACUGAGGCGCGACAGCGUGGGGAGCAAACAGG